rnacentral:sRNA from 1 species
ACAUCAUUGGGUUUUCUAUAAGUUAAUAAUCUUAUUCUCAUUAAUUAGUCAAAAUAUACGAUUGGAGGUUUAUAUAUAGAUUGACUUUGACCUAAACCAUAGCCGUAAAUCGGAAAAUGACAAUGGUUUAUCUUUGUGCAAUACUAGUUCAAAAUGCAAUAAUAGUAAAAAAUAGGAAACGUAGGGCCUUCUCCAUUAGUGUAUAAAGUACUCAUUUCUAACUUUUUAAUAUAUCUUUGUGCCAAACCACAUUAUGACCUCAAAACUACUUCCUCUCCUCCUCAAUCUCAUCUUCCUCUUCUUCUUUCCCCUUCUAAACGCAUCCGAACAAAAACCUUGCUACAGUUUCUCAUGUAGUCAAGAGAGCGUCGUUGCUCGUUUCCCUUUCUCCCUAUUCUCCUAUCAACCUGAGUCAUGCGGCUACUCAGGAUUCAACCUCAUAUGCAAAGAUGAUGCCAAUACUACCUUAAAGCUUCCUAAGUCUGAACCCUUUCUUGUUAAGGAGAUCGACUAUGAAACACAGCGUAUUCGCCUCAACGACCCUGAGAAUUGUUUGGCCAGACGACUUCUUAACUUUGACCCUUCAGGAUCUCCUUUUUCUUUUCUUCGCUCUCGUAACUACACGUUCUUGAUCUGUCCUAAGGAAGCGAACAUCACUGCAUCCUUCAGAGCUAUCGAUUGCCUUGGUAAUACCACUUCCUCCUUCUUUGUUGUGCAGUUUGAGAAUCUCGGUUCGAUGCCAUCUUCUUGUCACAUCUUUAAGAUAUUACCUCUUCCAUUUUCUUGGUUUGUCGCCUACACGACAUACCCUGAUGGCCAAAACAGUCGAGACAUGUGGCUCAAAUGGGACUCGCCGGAUUGUAGAGAUUGUGAGAGGAGAACUAAUUCAAGAUGUGGAUUCAAAAACAAUACUUCCCAUCAAGUCGAAUGCUUCAGUUCUGUUAACCCUGGUGCGUACAAUCUCAAUUCUUCUCUGUUCUUUUGUACUUCACGAUAUUCCAACUUGAAACGACAUCAUCUACUUUUGAAAAAGUUCUUUCCCAAAGAAUCCAUAAAUGGUUGAAAGCUUCAAAUCCAAGGAGUUGUUAAUUAAACAAAGA